CGCACUUUGGACAUUCCUCCAGUGGAUGGACUGGCACAGAGGGGCAGCAGACAUUGAAUGGUUGGUAAGGUGGAUGAGUCUGGCAGCAGCAUUCAUGAAAGACUGAAGAAGGGAUAGGCU